GUCUUCGGACCUCGUGCUAUUAGAUGAGUCUGCGUCGGAUUAGCUUGUUGGUGAGGUAAUGGCUCACCAAGGCGACGAUCCGUAGCUGGUCUGAGAGGAUGACCAGCCACACUGGAACUGAGACACGGUCCAGACUCCUACGGGAGGCAGCAGUGGGGAAUAUUGCACAAUGGGCGCAAGCCUGAUGCAGCCAUGCCGCGUGUGUGAAGAAGGCCUUAGGGUUGUAAAGCACUUUCAGCAGUGAGGAAAGGGGUGUCGUUAAUAGCGCCAUCCUGUGACGUUAACUGCAGAAGAAGGACCGGCUAACUCCGUG
rnacentral:rRNA from 1 species